rnacentral:misc_RNA from 1 species
UGUAGGUGCUUGAAUGGCCAGACUUGUACCUGGAAUGGAAAUAGCAGGCAACUGAAAAAUAGCACUUGGAAGAGGGCACCCAGAGAUUAGAACUACCAGUGUCAAAUAUCACAGUGAACUUUUGUGGAGGAGUACCAAUUCCAAUCUCACCAAAAUACUGAGCAUCCAUGUAGUUCUUUAGUGAUACUAUAUCAAUAUCUUCUGCAUCACCUAAAUUCCCACGAAGAUGAUACUUUUUAAUAGAAGCUCGUAAUGACUCUCCUUCCUGGGACUCAAACUGAGCAGCCACACGGUUGUUUUGAUCAAACUUCCUCUUCUUGAGUCCAAUUCUGACCAAUCCAUCAUUAGGUGCAGCAAAUACCAAAGGCAACAAAAAGAGGCAAAGGAAAAUAGCAGCUGUAAUGGGUUUGAGCAUUGUUCCCAUGUUGAUAAGGUUUUGACGAUCGAUUGAGGAAGGAAAGGAGAGACGACGAGAAGGAAAAUUUUCUACCCCACUAACGGAGAGCAGAUAUUUACGUGGAUAAAACGGUCCGGUUCAUCCGGUUCGAUUUUUUUAAAGAUAGAAAUUGACUUUGGCGGGCAACUUGGGACCCUGGAGCCGUACACGUGUGUCUGAUGGGAUAUUUCUUUCUUCUAUGCCUG